UUAAAGAGUGCGUAAUAGCUCACUGGUCAAGUGGUGUUGCGCCGAAAAUGUAUCGGGCCUUGAGUCGUUUACCGAAGCCACGGACUUUACCUUGCGUAGAGUGGUAGGGGAGCAUCCUGUAGCGGUAGAAGCGGCGGCGUGAGCCAGCCGUGGACGUAUCAGGAGAGAGAAUGCUGGCAUGAGUAACGAGAGACAGGCGAGAAACCUGUCCGCCGAAAGCCCAAGGGUUCCUGGGUAAAGCUAAUCUUCCCAGGGUCAGUCGGGACCUAAGCCGAGGACGAAAGUCGUAGGCGAUGGACAGCAGGUAGACAUUCCUGCACCGCGAACGUGGCGUUUGAGCGAUGGAGGGACGGAGAAGGGUAGGCCAACCGUGGCGCUGGUAGACCACGGGCCUUGC
rnacentral:rRNA from 1 species